ensembl:snoRNA small nucleolar RNA SNORD41
CUGGAUAUGAUGACAUUCUGUAGAACUCCUGACUGUUAAUGAUGGUGUUAGUAUUCAUACUAUCUGAUCCAG